GAAAAUCCUUCAACUUUAUUUGCAGGUAUGGACUCCUUGUUGCCUGGUACCAUGUUGUUGUGCAAAGUAAGCAACAGUUCAGGAAAGCACGCGUGUAAAUAAGCAGAUAACACUGCCAACUGCAGAGCAUAGUGAUGGCACGUUGAAAACCCAGUUCUUCUAUAGAAGCCAUCCAACUCCUGGAGCAAUCUACGUAAUUCCUUGCAGGUUUCCUUGCCACCUUCAUCUUUGGCCCAUCUGUUCAACGGUGCUAUGAACUCUUGUGACAUGUGAAACAGUAUAGAUACCAUUUUGGCAAGUCACUGCGUCUAUUUAAGGAAGGCUGUGAGGGGGUGUAGUUCUGUGUACCUUGCUUCUGUUGAUGGAGAGAGCAAGGAAGGCGUGAUCAGAAAUGAAUUGUGGCGGGGGCUGGACUGGUGGCUUUCCAUCAGGUCUUCACUGUCAUUGUUGCUGCCUACAGCAAUAUAUUUAUAGACCAGUUAUAUAUUACAGUUAUGUCGGAUACUGUUCUGGGUCCCUUCUAAAGGAAGAGUGGGAGAGUGAAAAAUGUAAUAAGAUUUCUUGCAAAAUUGCUAAAUGUGUGUGAAGGCAUGUGAGAGAAGUGAACUUAAUGGGAAGUCCAUAGCAGGGAAGGACUUUUGUACUCCUCAGGUAAGUCAUUGCUCUCUACCCUUUGAUUUGGGACAGUCAUAGUAGUCUGCUUACUCUACUUCUGUGACAGAAUGUAAUGGUAACUCCAUGUUGAACACCAAUAUCAAAACUUCACUGCACAUAUUGUUUUGUAAAUAUUGUGUUUUAGUACAUCAUACCAAUGAAGGAAGCUUUCCUGAGUUGGUUUCUCGUAUUUUUGUAUGAAUCUAUCAUUUCACCUUCAGUUAAUUUCCAUUUCUCAUCUUUAAUCUAGAUAGAGACAUAAUUGCUAUCUUCACUUCUUGAGACCGAUUUUUUUGAAGAAUACUCCUAUUUGCAUUUGUUUGUAAAAUCCCUCCUAUUUUAGCAGGAGGAGGUGUAUUCUGUGACUGUCUUCAGUGUAGAAAUCACUCUAUUUCAGUGCACAUGUGCCUUGUGUCUAAUGAGAUCUCUAUAACAUAAUGUAACAAUUGGGAGAUGGAUGCAAAAUCUGCAAUAGUUAUGCUAACCUUUCUCACCCUGACCUCCACCAGCUUAGAUCAAGAAGCAGCCUUGUCUGUUUCCAGUCCUGUUACCCCCCCCCCAGAGUUAAUUUGUUUUAAAUUGUAUAGCAACAGCAUCUACUGUUUAAACAAAAAUCCCUUAGCCCAUGUCUUUAUCACUUUUUUCUUCCACUCUUGAAGCUAUUUGCAAUUAAACCUCAGUAAAAUAUGAAGCAUCAGAAAUGUUAAACUAUCUUGGCAAUAAAGAGGCAUGAAACAGAUGAAUAAUGAGAAGCAAAAGAUAAGCAGUAAUGUCACUUUCAUUCUGGAGUGCCUGUUCUGGAAUAGAGUUCAUGUCACCUCUUAUUAUUUCAUAUCCUAUUUAUGACUCACAGGAAUGAUUAAGAAAAAAUCCUGCUAAAGAACAGUCCUUAGAUAUCUGCUUAAAUUAUGGAAAUAAGAAACUUCAAGGCCUCUUUUUGCUGAAGAUUAAGAAGUAUCUAUUUGAGAUUUCCAGUGCACUUUACUUAGAGGCUUGUGGGGAUGAAAGAGGGAGAGGGGCAGACUCGUGUAUUUUUCUUGGAUGUGCCAAUUUUGAGCAGUGUGUGAAUACAACUGUAACAACAUCACAAGUGGUUUCCUUUUAAUUUCUUCCUAGAUGCUGGUUUGAUACAGUUCUGUAUUCAUGUGUACUGGAAGUUUGUAAUAAAUAUAACAACAAAGCUCAGCAAACAAUGAGCAGGCAAUCACAUA